CAUUAUUGAAUGUCGCCUUGAUGGGUUGUCGCUGGCUCCUAAAACAAAAAGAGCAAGUGCACGCCUGUCUUGACUUCUAUUCAUCCACCUGUGCACCUUUUGUAGUCUUUUUGGGGGCUGGGGAAAGCUUGGCAAGCUUUCAGGCUUGUCGGGUGAAACCUCCCACUGGGGACUAUGUUUUUAUAUAUUCAUAUACCAUGUAGAAUGUCACAGAAUGUUGUCAAUGGGCACUUGUGCCUAUAUAAAAAUCUAUACAACUUUCAGCAACGGAUCUCUUGGCUCUCGCAUCGAUGAAGAACGCAGCGAAAUGCGAUAAGUAAUGUGAAUUGCAGAAUUCAGUGAAUCAUCGAAUCUUUGAACGCACCUUGCGCUCCUUGGACAUUCCGAGGAGCAUGCCUGUUUGAGUGUCAUUAUAUUCUCAACCCCACCAGCUUUUGUGGCUGGCCAUUGGGGCUUGGAUGUGGAGGCUUUGCUGGCCAAUACUGUUAUUGGUCAGCUCCUCUGAAAUGCAUUAGCGGAACCGUCUGCGAUCCGUCACAGGUGUGAUAAUUAUCUACGCCAGUGGGUUGCUUUCUGUAUUGUUCAGCUCAUAACCGUCCUGUCACUGGGACAACAUUAUAUUGAACGUUUGACCU
rnacentral:rRNA from 1 species